GCCCCCUCGGAACUCAGAAGUGCCGGAAGACGGGUCGGCGGCCGCCCAAUCCCCCCAAAAAAAAGAAAAAAAAAUGAUUAACUACUUCGCUUUUCCUCAUAUUGAAAGUUCCUUUUCUUUUUUUUUUUUUGUGUGUGUGUAAAGUGUAAACAAGACGCAUUUAGAGCUGUUAUUCAUCUCGGCAUGUGUUUGGCGUGCAUGUUUGGUUGA